rnacentral:rRNA from 1 species
AGUGAACGCUGGCGGUAGGCCUAACACAUGCAAGUCGAACGGCAGCACAGUAAGGGCUUGCUCUUACGGGUGGCGAGUGGCGGACGGGUGAGGAAUACAUCGGAAUCUACUUUUUCGUGGGGGAUAACGUAGGGAAACUUACGCUAAUACCGCAUACGACCUACGGGUGAAAGCAGGGGAUCUUCGGACCUUGCGCGAUUGAAUGAGCCGAUGUCGGAUUAGCUAGUUGGCGGGGUAAAGGCCCACCAAGGCGACGAUCCGUAGCUGGUCUGAGAGGAUGAUCAGCCACACUGGAACUGAGACACGGUCCAGACUCCUACGGGAGGCAGCAGUGGGGAAUAUUGGACAAUGGGCGAAAGCCUGAUCCAGCCAUACCGCGUGGGUGAAGAAGGCCUUCGGGUUGUAAAGCCCUUUUGUUGGGAAAGAAAAGCAGCAGGUGAAUACCCCGCUGUUCUGACGGUACCCAAAGAAUAAGCACCGGCUAACUUCGUG